CGCUUGAACCCGGGAGGCGGAGGUUGUGGUGAGCUAAGAUCACGCCAUCGCACUCCAGCCUGGGCAACAAGAGCGAAACUCUGUCUCAAAAUAAAUAAAUAAAUAAAUAAAAUUAGUUGGGUGUGGUGGUGUGUGCCUGUGGUCCCAGCUGCUCUGGAGGCUGAGGCAGGGGCAUGGCUUGAGCCCAGGAGUUCAAGGCUGCACUGAGCCGUGAUCGCACCACUGCACUCUAGUCUGAGCAACAGAGUGAGGCCCUUGCUCUAAAAAAAAAAACAAUGAAAAAACAAUCCCCCGGGGGAACAUUUAAAAGGCUCCAUGCCCAUGCCAUGCCCCAGAUCAACUGGAUUAGGAACUCUCAAGAUGCCACCAGGCAUCAGUGCCGACCUAUCCCUGGGCACAGCCAUACUGGGGCCACAGAAAGUCUUUAAUUUUAUCAUUUUUUUCCAUAAGAGGGAAAAAUGCCUGCAUAUAAUAAUGAAUCCAGCCUGGAUUAUAUUUCUCUUUAUACCAACACAGUCAUAAAAUACAUGUUUAAAAAUAUUUUUAUGGAGGAAGUGGCCCACUGAAGUGCUAAGGCUGCCCCGAUCAGCCUGCAGCUGCAGCGUGCCCCCAGGUCGCUGGCCCGGCCUGGGGGUUGGUGUGAGUGUGUGAGGCUCCAUCACUGAUGCUGUGGUCCCCAGGGCCUCUGUUCAAUCAGUAAGUGCGUAUUGGGUGUGUAACAUGUUCCCAGGAUGCAGCAGCAAAUGGGAGAGUCAGGCUCCUUGCUCUUGGGAAUCUAAACUGGAACGUCAUCAUGUUAUGCUUGCUUUGCAUAUUAUGAUAACGUGAUCUUGCAUAUAAACGCUUCCUCAAAUACUGUCUCCACCAAUCCUGCCAAGAACUCUUCCAGAUAAAAAGGAAAAACAUGAUCAUUUUACAAGUAAAAGAAAGGAGGCAUGGAAUAAGUGAGAUUUACACAGUUGCCAAGAAAUUCAUAACAGAGUAACUUCUUCUGGUCCUACAAUUCACCUUGGCCUUGUUAAAAAUACAGAUUCCCAAGCUACGUGGCUGGAGAUUCAGAUUUGAAAGGCUUGGGAGGGGGCCCAGGAAUCUGCAUUUUUAAGAAAAGGCAGGGUGUGGUGGUGCCCGUUGUAGUCCCAACUGCUUGGGAGGCUGAGGUGGGAGGAUUGUUUGAGCCCAGGAGUUAGAGGCUGCAGUGAGCUAUUACUGUGCCACUGUACUCCUGCAUGGGCAACAUAGGGAGACCUCAUCUCUUGAAAAAGAGUGAAAGAAAGAGCAAGAAAGAGAAUGAGAAAGAAAAAGAGAAAGAAAGAGAAUGAGAAAGGAGUGCCGGGGUGUUUCCUAAGGGCUGGCAAUGUUAAGAAAUGUUGUUCCAUGGGGCCUGGGGAUCAGAUCAGCCAGACAGAAGGAACUGAAAUCAGGGUUCUUGACCUUGGCACUAUUGACACCUUGGGGUAGAUCAUUCCUUGUUCUGAGUCCAUCCUGUGCAUUGGAAGAUGUGUAGCAGCAUCCCUGGCCUCUACCCAGAGAUAGAUGCCAGUAGCAGUCCCCAGUUGUGACAAUCAAAAAUAUUAAUACUCCAGGCCAGGCAGAGUGGCUCAUGCCUGUAAUCUUAGCACUCUGGGAGGCCAAGGCAGGUGGAUCACCUGAGGUCAGGAGUUCGAGACUAGCCUGGCUAACAUGAUGAAACCCCAUCUCUACUAAAAAUACAAAAAUUAGCUGGGCGUAGUGGCGGGCGCCUGUAAUCCCAGCUACUCGGCAGGCUGAGCCAAGGAGAAUCGCUUGGACCCGGGGGCAGAGGUUGCGAUGAGCCAAGAUCGCGCCACUACACUCCAGCCUGGGCGAAAGAGUGAAACUCUGUCUCAAAAAAAAAAAAAAAAAUACUCCAGACAUCACUAAAUGUCUCUGGAGAAACAAAAUCAAAUCACCUCAUUGAGAACACCUGGGCAAAGUGCAUGGGUCAAAGGAAACAUUUCCAAUGUUUGGGGAUCGAGUGUCUGUCACUGACCCAAACAUGGUUAAAAUACACCAAUUUCCAUAACAAGGAAUGCAGCACUAACACAUACUACAGUGUGGAUGAGCCUUGGAAACGUUAUGCCACGUGAAAGAAGCCAGGCAGCAAAGGUCACCUGUUGUAUGAUUCCAUUUAUGUGAAAUAUGCAGAAUAGGUGAUCCAUAGAUACAGAUGACAAAUUGGUGGUUGUCAGGGGCUGGGAAGAGGGGAGAAUGGGAAGUGACUGCUUCAUGGAUCUGGGGUCUCCUUUGGGGGUGAGGAAAAUGUUUUGCAGUCCAGGCGUGGUGACUCAUGCCUGUAAUCCCAACACUUUGGGAGGUCGAGGCAGGAGGGUCGCUUGAGCCUAGGAGUUUGAGACCAGCCUGGGCCACAUGGUGAAACCCUCUCUCUACAAAGACAUGCAAAAAAAAAAAAAAAAUAGAUUGGUGUAAUGGCAGGCACCUGUAGUCCCAGCUACUGGGGAGGCUGAGGUGGGAGGAUCGCUUGAGCCUGGGAAGUCAAGGCUGCAGUGAGCCAUGAUUGUGCCACUGCACUCCAGCCUGGACGACAGAGUGACACCCUGUCUCAAAAAAAAAAAAAAAAAAAAAAGAAAAAGAAAGAAAAAGAAAAUGUUUUGCAACGAGAUAGAGGUGGCAGUUGUACAACAAUGUGGAUGUGCUGAUGCCACUGAAUUGGUCACUGUAAAAUUGUUUAAUUGUACUAGGUGAAUCUCACCUCGAUCAAAGAAAAUACACCAAUUUGUAUUGUUUCAUGUGACAAUUGGUAAAAUGAGGAUAGAGUGAACUGUGGAUGCAGCGUAAAUCAGAAUGGAGGUUUCAGUGAGGUAGUAACCAUUACCAACUGUGUUAAGACUAUAAUAUAAUGGCCAGGCACGGUGGCUCACACCUGUAAUCCCAGCACUUUGGGAGGCCAAGGCAGGCGGAUCAACUGAGGUCGGGAGAUCGAGACCAGCCUGGCCAGCAUGAAGAAACUCCAUCUCUACUAAAAAUACAAAAUUAGCCAGGCGUGGUAGCACAUGCUUGUAAUCCCAGCUACUCGGGAGGCUGAGGCAGGAGAAUUGCUUGAACCUGGGAGGCAGAGGUUGUGGUGAGCUGAGAUCACACCAUUGCUUUCCAGCCUAGGCAACAAGAGCGAGACUCUGUCUCAAAAAAAAAAAAAAAAAAAAAAAGACUAUAAUGUAUAAUUAAAUAAUACUUAUAAAGCAAAUGGUAGAAUCUGAGGACAGGACCUCAGUAUCAACAUCUUUGGAACCAGUACAAUGUUGGGUUAAAAUGUAUAGGACAUGCUUGUUGAAUUAGGGAAGAAAGUAAAGUGAAAGCAUUUGAUUCAUCAAGAACCAUGACUGAGCUACUUGCAACCUGCUGCAGGGCUGGGACAACUCAUUUGAGCUUCCCACACCGAGUUCCUCUCCUUUCGAAGAAGAGGUAGGCUGAUUCCUCCAGCGCUAAAUGUCUGUGUUGGGAAAUGGACAGGUCUAGGGGAGAAGACAGUACCUGCUGGAACAUUCCAGAACAUGCUGGAAUAUGCUAGGGGCUUGCUGUUUUGGCCUAUGUUGUGCUGAAACCCUGUUAGUUUCACUAGGGAGGUAACAAGUUCAAGAGGCUGAAGAAGAAAUGCAGAGCCAGCAAAGGAGACAUUGGGUUUGAUUCGGGACUUAGACACAGGGGAGAGAGUGCAGGUGCUGGUGGGCUGGAGAGGGAAACUGCAGCCACUUGCAAACAGCAUGCAGUUUAUUCAGCAUUUUCACUUAACACCCUCCCCUUAACGACCUCCACCUGGCAACCUUCAUGUAACCUAAAACUCAGAGCCUCCAUCCCUUGGAGGGCCUGUGUUUCAUGGGAUGGGCCAGGGGCUCAGAUGUUUCUCAUAGACAGGAAACAAAUCUCCAGGUUGGCCAUUCCCGGAUUCCGUAGCUGGGACUCACAUUCAGGUGAGUCUGCCAUCCAGGUCAUCCUAAGGAUGUGCGCAGGUUAUUGCGUUCAGGUGCGUUUGCCCUACAGCCCACCGGAGCCAGCUCUUCGGUAAACUAGGAAACCCUUGAGACACAGGUCUCAAUGAGCACCAGGCUGUGGUCAGCUUUGAUACGCAGGAGCAGAGCAAGCCAAGAAAUGACACUCAACUUUGCAAGAAUCAGCCCCCUGUGUCUCCUUCCCACUGUCUGCUGCCAGGGGCGGGCGUCUGUAUUCACACAUCUGGCUCAGGUGAGGAUGGGGCCAGGAGCCACCUUUGCAGGUCAUUCGAAGGCCCCCACAUUCCUUCCACCGGUGGGCCCUGGGGGCUGCCUCCCUCCCUCCCUGAGCUGAGAAUCCCAUCUUUGGAGUGAGUCUUGCGUCUACAGAUCUAGGGCUGCACGUGUGUCCUGCUCAGGGCAUGGCUAAUAGGGCCCAUUCCCUGGAAGCAAGGGCAGGAAGGGGACUGGGCACGGGGCUGUCGUCUUUACAUAAGGGCUCAUUACCACGGAGGCCUUAGCAGCUAGGGUACCUGUGAUCCUGGGCAGGCGUAUUUCUGCUUGGAGGACGUGGGGAUUGGAAGCAGGGGUCGAUUAUAGAGCUGAGCCACAGGUGAAGUGGCUGGUGCAUCUCUGAGUAGCCAAGAAAUGGGAAAAGUGCCGGGAGAGGCAGGCCUCCUAACGCAGGGAGAAGGUUUCAGACCCCAUCGUAGACUCUGCUGUAUAACAGCCACUCACACAGGGCUUUGCGGUAAGAACUUUUUGGCUUCUUUGGCAAUAGCUUUAUUGAGAUGUUAUCUACAUGUCACACAAUUCACCCAUUUAAAGUGUACAAUUCAGCCGGGCGUGGUGGCUUACACCUGUAAUCCAGCACUUUGGGAGGCCAAGGUGGGAGGGUUGGUGUAGGCCAGAAGUUGAAGACCAACCUGGACAACAAGGUGAGACUCGGUCUCUUUAAAAAAAAAAAAAAAAAAAAAAAAAAAAACGGGCCAGGCGCGGUGGCUCACGCCUGUAAUCCCAGCACUUUGGGAGGCCGAGGCAGGUGGAUCACGAG
rnacentral:lncRNA from 1 species